rnacentral:rRNA from 1 species
AGUGAACGCUGGCGGUAGGCCUAACACAUGCAAGUCGAACGGCAGCACAGUAAGAGCUUGCUCUUACGGGUGGCGAGUGGCGGACGGGUGAGGAAUACAUCGGAAUCUACUUUUUCGUGGGGGAUAACGUAGGGAAACUUACGCUAAUACCGCAUACGACCUACGGGUGAAAGCAGGGGAUCUUCGGACCUUGCGCGAUUGAAUGAGCCGAUGUCGGAUUAGCUAGUUGGCGGGGUAAAGGCCCACCAAGGCGACGAUCCGUAGCUGGUCUGAGAGGAUGAUCAGCCACACUGGAACUGAGACACGGUCCAGCCUCCUACGGGAGGCAGCAGUGGGGAAUAUUGGACAAUGGGCGCAAGCCUGAUCCAGCCAUACCGCGUGGGUGAAGAAGGCCUUCGGGUUGUAAAGCCCUUUUGUUGGGAAAGAAAAGCAGCAGGUUAAUACCCCGCUGUUCUGACGGUACCCAAAGAAUAAGCACCGACUAACUUCGU